AUCAUCCCUCUGCAAGCCUCCCGUAGAAGCAGAACGACCGGAGGUGGUCGCCUUCUUCCUCUCCGGCAACCACGGCCGCAGUCACUUCCUCUGCGAUUUCGAUGCCACCAGUGCCUCCCCCUCACUUAUUUCUUAUCCACCAGCCUCCUUGAGCACUCACUGAUCCAUCCCCAUCAUCAUUUUUACUCGAGAUCGACCGUAGGCGAAAUCCCUCUUCCUCCUCCGCCGGAGCUCUUCGGGAGUGCUCGCAGCCGGCGACUCCGUCCACUCCGGAGACCAUGGCGACCACCGGAAGGAUCGUAUCAACCUUCUAAGCACGCCCAUGUGCUCAGAUCACCGAGGGGCGUCGAUCGCCGAAGCCCCGCCUCUGUCCGGCCGCGUGAGAGAGGGCGCGCGAAGACUAGUCAAACCGGACCAGUGGGCCAGGCGGGGCCACUGUCAGCGACUCAAGCCGCGCCAGAUCGGCUAUAAGUGGAAAUGUAUUCUCCAUAUUACGUCUUCACUUCCCAAAAAGCGUAAAUACAAUCGAACUGUUUUCUUUUAUAAACUUUAAUUAAAACAGAUUUUAACUACUUCUUUGACUGCCUCUGGUUUUUAAACCACAAAUCCAAAUGACUUGAUUAUUUUUUUGUAUUCCUCAAAUUUCAUCUAGUUUAUUUUACUAUUUAUUUCAAAAUUUUCCAACCAACUUUUUUGUACUGUUUUGGAAUUAUGUGGUAAUUGCAUUAUUUUGAAAAUAGGGAAAAUGGAGGGAAGACAAUUUUCAAAUUUUUUGGAGUGCACCCAACCCUUCUACAUGAUCAAGGCAAGCAUUUUGAACACUUGAUAUGAUGACUGCUUGGUUGAUUGCUUGCUAGAAUAUUUGAAACAUGUUAUGUUACCUCAUAUGAAAUUGCAUACAAAUGAUCAUGCAUUCCUUGUCAAUAUUUGACUUCACCUAAACAUGAAAUAUUUGUGCCACAUAUGCCUAUGCCUGUUCUGACUAACUUGCAGGAAAAAAUUGGUCACUAGUGAAAGUGAUCGUAAGACAGGAAUCUCGUUGUGACGAGAAUGAUCAGUGAGGACAUGUUGGGACAUGCCAAGUGGUGACCCUGUUAUCUUCCACCAAGGAUAUAUAUUGUGCUAACCACUGCAGGAAAUUUUUAAACCUCCUGAGUCGAUUGUAGAUCGAGUCUUGUUCCAGUAACCCCCGUACUUGAUUUGUGCUGCCACUUGUCCCUGGCACAGGUAGGGUAUGGUUCAGUAAGUUGUUGACCCCUUUCCUGCACACACUAUACAGAGGGCCGCGAUGAGGGUCCCAAGGCCUUGGAUUAAAGCCAGUCAUCGGGUCAGGAGGCAUGGGUGUCUUCGGUUGAGGCUGAAGAAGGGUAGCACCCCUAGUUGCGCGGUAUAAAUAUUGUGAUCCCAUGCUAUUCGAGGUGGUAGCCUUCCCGUCUUAGAGUUUUACUUGAGUGAUGUUUUGGAUGAUUCCUGGCAUCAGGAAAGUUAAGCUGGUGUGUGCUGGUUAGGUGUGUUUGCAACCCAAAGACCGUAAACAGAAUUAGUCAACGUCUCGUGGCUAACUAAAGAAAUCAUUUACUUGUGGGUAAAGAAUACAACAUCUACAGAGUAUAAAACUUAUUUGAAUAGCCGUGUCCGUCGCUUCAGACACCCAACUGGCAUGUACUUUCUUUUCUUUUGGAAUUCACCGGGCGGUGCUACCGCCUAGAAUCCCUUUACCUUUGAUUUCAUUUGGAGUAAAGCCCUUUGCGUGGAGUCGCGAAGACACCCAAUUGUGGCAUUCUUUUAUAGUUUUCUCUUGGGUUCCUUCGGAACGGUUAUACCUCUUGAGACCUGAAUUUAAAUUAUUUUUGCAAUAUUAUUAUUUACUUAUACGUUGCUAAUAUUAAGCUGACAAAACUUUAUUAAUUGUGCACAUAUGAUACUCCACAUGAUUGCAUUAAAUUCUCGUCAUUUUUUUCGACAAAGGAUGAAUUUUAUUACUCAAAAUGAAGCAUCAAGAUAAUACAAACAUAGUGAGGACACACCUGGCCUCUGCAUAUCUAGGAUGCACGCAGCGAACACUAACACACACACACACACAAAAACCGCCGGCAAAUAGCAAAGCCAUAUAAAACCAAAGCUAUGCCUAAGCGAGAGAGAAAAAAAAAACCAUCCCGAAGCGUUCUAAAUCGCGAUCGACAACCUACAACAAUGACCAUAUCCGCACCAAUCAUCUCAUGACACCACAAGGACAUCGACAUUCUUCAACAGCAACGCCUUCAGAAAGGGAGCGACGCUCAAGCACCGCCGUCACCAGAACCAACCAUCAAAGGGCAAAUUCUAGAUUUUCACUUUGAAGAAACUGUCCGAGCAUCUCCGAGCAAUGCCUUCAACAAGGUAACGACGGCGAAACAUCGUCAUUGCCAGGUGUAUAACCGACAUGGUUCUGACCUAGGUUUUCACCCCGGAGCUCGAGACCAGGGUACUCAAAAAGCACCACCAUCGAAGUCAAGCAUGUGUUGUCACCACCACUUUUCCACGAUCCUAGCAGCUACAUGUGCUGGGUUAGAAAACCGACAGCCUCCACUGCGCAACCAUACCCUCUACGUCAAGACAUCAUCCAUAGAUUGCAUAACACCACCGAAGCAACCACUGGAUCUUGGAGAGUAUCACUUGCAAAGACCUUUCAUUCGCUAUCGCAGUCCGCCGUGAGGCCGCUGCCACGUCGAAGUGUUAAUCCUCGACCAACACCGAUGACGGAGCACUUUACCACCGAUUGCCCCCUCGCCGGCCUUGAACACCACCGUGUAUAUCCGGCCAAGCCUGCAACUGCCGGUCGGACCUCACAGGUACCGGUCUUGCCGCGAUCCGUGCGACGAAUUCUUGCAUGAUAGAAGCGGAGAAUCCUGAUCCAGCUGAGGACGUCAGGGCCUCACGCCAUCACCCUCCCUGGCUAGAUGCAUGUCGGACCACACCGGUGACUUACUGCAGUAGGCGCCGGACAUGCAACAACCAAAGAUCUAAGACCAAUCGAUGGCAUCUCAGUUUGGCACUACCAGCUUUAACAAAGACGGAGGAUCGUGAAUUUGCUUCCAGGACUCAGCCAGCAAGGAAGCAAACUAGCCCCGCGCCACUGGCACAGAGCCGUGCCACCCUGCCAUUAGGAGCCACCACGCCACCGGACGCCCAGCCCUGCCGCCAACCGACGGGUCGCGUCGAUGCGCCGCCACGAACUGCUGCCCUGCAGCACGGGAGCCGCCGCGAGGAGACGCCCCGCUCCCGCCGUCGGCCGCGCGGGCUUCGCCCGGCGGCGUCCUCCGGCGGCGGCAUGGCGGGAGGAGUUGGUAGAUCGACUGGUGGCGCUAGGGUAGGACGUGCGCCCGAGUCGCCCUGCAUUAAAUUCUCGUCAUGGCAUGGUAGAAUACACUUAAAAUUAACAGCAUGCAUUCUGUCUGCUUUUAUUAUAUCUUCUGUCCAUGAUGUUUGCGAGUACAUUCAAACGUACUCAUUAGUUUGUUCCUGACUAUUGUCUUGCUAAAUCAUGACUUGAGGAGGAGCUCUACGAAGACACCUCACAACCUAGGAAUCGGGGAUAGUAGCCACACCUCAAGAUCGAGGAUCAGAGGAGAUCGAAACAAGAACAACAACAAGAAGAAGAAGCCAUGGCGGCGGCGCGAGGAGGCUCGGCGGCGGCGCGAGGAGGCUCGGCGGCGCCGCGCUCCAGCGGGCCCAGGCGACAGUCGUCCCCGAGGGGAGACGGCGGGCGCUGUGGACCUCCAGGGCACAAAAGCCGAAGAGCUCAAAGAUUGGAUCGUCUUAGGUGCCAUGUGGGGGGAUGCACUAUUAGCGCUGCUUUCGCGUAUGGCCUGUGUCGGUUGGCGGACGAGAUCAAUCCGGAGAUCAGCCACAAGGCUGCUGCUUGGCUGAGGAAAAACGUAUGGCACACAGAGUAACAUCCACUAGCUUAUCUGCACUAGCUAUGUUCAAUCGAGUCCCUUGUAUGAAGCAAAACACUAUAGUAACAUCCACUAGUUCUUCAGCACUAGCUAUGUUCAAAGUCAUUGUAUGAAGCAAAACGCCACAAAGUAACAUCCACUAGAUCUUCACCAUCUUCUUGCAUGAAGC
rnacentral:rRNA from 1 species